rnacentral:rRNA from 1 species
CAAACGGGUGAGGAAUACAUGGGUAACCUACCCUUGAGAAGGGAAUAACCCGCCGAAAGGUGAGCUAAUACCCUAUACGCUAUUCUUUUUUCGAAAAGGAUAGGAAAGCCGGGUCGAGGACCUGGUACUCAAGGGAGGGGCUCAUGUCCUAUCAGCUUGUUGGUGGGGUAACGGCCUACCAAGGCUACGACGGGUAGCUGGUCUGAGAGGAUGAUCAGCCACACUGGCACUGAGAUACCGGGCCAGACUCCUACGGGGAGGCAGCAGUGAGGAAUAUUGCGCAAUGGGCGAAAGCCUGACGCAGCGACGCCGCGUGGGGAUGAAGGUUUUCGGAUUGUAAACCCCUUUCACGAGGAAAGAUAAAGUGGGUAACCACUUAGACGGUACCUCAAGGAGAAGCCACGGCUAACUUCGUG